AAAUUACCUUUUCAACAGGGUAACCAACAACAAUUUCAUCAUCUACAGCCAAUAUCUGAUCUCCGACUUUGAGUCGUCCAUCCUAAAUAGAAAUGUAGAAGAAUUUGAGUGAUAUUCCAAAAGUAAUUCCCUCCCCAACUACUUAAUGACAGCAAGAAAGAGCCAGCAACCUAAUUUUUUCUCCAGAGAAAAGUUACAAAAAGCAAAGAAGAGAAAAGGGAAUCUUGACAUGGUUUCUCUGAAAUAUACACAUGAGUUAAAUGUGCCAUCAGAGAUGUUUAUGGUAAUGGCUAUGACAUCAAGGUAAUCAGUCAUGUGUAUCUGCCAGAGUAAGCUGCACCUUUAGAAUAUUUACUCAGUCUGAACUAUGUCCAUGACAGUAAGUAAUGGGAAAGAAAAAGUGAGAAUUUCUUCUCUCAACAUGUGUACGUUUUAGAUGUACAGAAAAGAUACCCACAUCAAAUUUCAUCACAGGAGACAAGCUCUUGGGUCAAACAUGGUUAAGUGACAAAUAAAAUGAAGACAUUAAUAGAUUUAGGAGGAAAAGAAACUAAGAGCGGAAAUCAGAAAGGGAAAGAGGAAGAUGUCAUCUCUCUUAAAUGGCGACAGAAUGAGGGAUUCUCAAACUGAAGUGUAUGGACUUCUUGAUAGAAAGAACAUGAACCUGACUUUUCAUGGUGAAUAAAAGAAUAGCUCAUGUUUAAAGCCAGCAUUAAAAUAAUGCACAUGAAGUCUGACAUCCAUGGACUGCUGAUAAAGAGGCACCACUUGGACCAACUGCAGGAGAGUAGACAGCAAAUUUCCUGGCAGGCACUGGGCUCCCAGGAUGCUCUGCACAAAAUGAGGGCUCUGUGGAAAAACUUGUCACCUGCAAGACCAUCCUGGGAAGUUCCUUACUGUCGUAUUUCCCACUUAGUCUCAAAACUCAAGCCCUGGAAAUAGGUCACUGGGAGAAGGAAUGCUGGGUAGAUUCAGGAUUUAGGCAGCAAACUGUGCCUAAACAGUAUAGUGCCUAAUGCAAAUGACUGGCUCAGUCAUUCGGUCGUUUAGUCCCUGCCAACUGAACCUUCCAUAUCUAUAGGGAAACAUACUCAGCAUGGGAAGAACAUAAAGGCAGUAUAAAAUCAUGUGGAUCCCAGCCCGGGAGGGGCAAGGACAAACAACAGAAGCAAAUAAAAUUCUAAACCCUA